rnacentral:tmRNA from 1 species
GGGGAUGUAAAGGUUUCGACGGGGGAGGGAAACCCUGGUAAGCGGGCAGCGGUGCCGGACCGCUUUAAAACCGGCAAACCUUAAAAUUAAACGACAACGACUUUGUUGCUGUUGCUGCUUAAAUAAGCAGCCGUUCUUACCCGGAGCACCGCGGCCGGGAUAAGAGCGUCGAUUAGCGGUGAACGUGAGCGAGGGGGCCGCCUUCGACCUCGCCAUGACCCUGAGGGCUACCGAUGUCCGGAGCGUGCUUUUGCGCGCCGGGCGGGGGGAAUCCCAAAGCAAAAGCUACGCCCGUAGAAAGCCCCGGCGACACUCUUUCGGACGCGGGUUCGAUUCCCGCCAUCUCCACCA